CCUCUCUCUUUUUCUUUUCACUUGCUCGUGAACUGUUAAUAAUCUGAUCGUUAUCUUUUUCAGUCGGCCCGGGGCAGCAAAACGUCAGACAAGCGGUCUCCUUGCGUGCCAAGGCAAAGGGAGCCAACCCGCCCACCAAACCCCUGCGCUUACUAUGGAAACUGAUCUUGGCUGGCGUGAAUAUGUUCUGGCGACAGAGGAGGCAUACUGGAAUGGCCUGUGGACUGUGAUAUUGUUUGCAGAUUCUCUCAUUGAUGGACAGGAGAGGGAGAAACCUCUAACAGGCAGGAAAUAACUCUAGAAACCAACAGGCUUCCUUGUCUUGCUCCAUUUGAAUUUUGAAAUGUCAAAUGUGAAAUGUCCAAGUGUUCUUGACCAGCUGUGCUCUAUCCAAUCUCAUGUAGACACGAAAUACUUCCAAAAGAAGGAAGAUGUUGAAGAAAAUUUA
rnacentral:lncRNA from 7 species